UAUUCUGCCCAGACGCGAAGGAUGAGAAGCUUCGACUAAGGUUCGAUUCGAGCGUUAGCGAGAAAGCGUUGCCGCAGGCAACGACCCGAAGGGCGA
rnacentral:sRNA from 1 species